rnacentral:ribozyme from 1 species
AGUGGACUUUGCCACUUAAAAAAGGUAAUUAAGCAAAGAGCGUUUGACCCCGUUUAAACGGGGUUAAGGUUUAC